AGUUUGUGUUGUCGUCUACCUAAUAAUCUAUCUACUCCCGUCGGUUUUUGGCUUGGUUGCUGGUCGCGCGGUGAAUAGCUCCCGUUCACUGCUGAUUCGCAAUCUGAGUGUUGUCCAUCUGGGUGGUCAGCUCGGAUAUGCCCUCCUCCUCCUCAGAGAUGAGGUCCACCCAGUAGCGGAGCUUCUUGCUGCGCAGGUAGCUGGCGGAGUUGUCGAAAACCACCGUGUCUAAGGAUGAUUUUCACAUGUCAUUAAUCGAGGUAACAAAAACGAAGCUUAUUUUACUCACAAGUGGUGUUCGGUCGUGUAGAGAUGUAACCAAUCUCGUCCAUCUCGUUGGAGUACACGGUUCCCAGGGGCACCUCGCUGCGCUUCUCGCCCGUCUUGUCGUCCACGCUGUAGAUGCCGAAUUUGAUGUCGUAGUCAAAGGUGCGGAACUCCCAGGAGAGGAUCUUCUGCUCCUCAACGUUGACCUUAAAGUGCAGCUUCAACUUGUCGCCCUUGGGAACCUGGGCCUCCACAAAGUCUCGAUCGCUCUGCUGGCUACUCUGAUCAAUGUAAAGCUCCUCCGGCAGCUUGCCUCCCCAGACCAUCAGUGCCUUGCACUGGGGAUCUCCGUUCCUGUCCACCAUCUCGCCGCCCCAGGCCUUCGGAAAUGCCUUUCGGUUCACAUGGGAGAAGAGUUGCUCCUGCCAGCGGUCCACUCCGGAUUUGUAGAUCACGAUCUUGCUGGUGGUGUUCUCGUCCAGGAAUUUCUUAACAAUGUUGAACGCCACCGAGAAGAGCUUGGGUGCGUUGAUGAUGUAGCACAUCUUGAGGAGCUCCGGGAAGUUGGCCUCGUAUUGCUUCACCGUAGAGAUCACACAUUCGGCAGCCGGUCGCCAGGCGUACUGCUUCAGGUUCACAUCCUGCAUGUCGAAAAAUACAACCAGCUGGCGGGCUCGCCAUCCGUGCUUUUGACUCUGAUCGUAGGCGAUCUUCAUGAAGCGCUCGAGCAGCAGGACCAGGUACUUUUGGAACUCAAACCGCGUGACGCAGUGCAUCAUGCCCCACAUGUCGAAGUUGGCAAAGGGGCAGACCAGCACUGAAAGGAGAAUUGGAGUUGUUUAGUUUGGUGGCUUUGUUUGUGCAGAGCAGUCGCAACCAACCCGGUGAUCCUUCGUUGUCGUAGCCCAUGAGGCCGUAUGGCAGAUACUCCUGCAAUGCCUUCGGUGGAUCCCACUUCUCGAUGUUGUCCACAUUCCACAUGGCGCGUGUUUUCAAACUCUGCAAGCUCUCAGCAUUUUCUCCGCUGCCUCCAGAUUCCAUUUUCGAGCUGUUUUAGAGCAGAAGGAAAUAAAGUUAAUGCAGCCUGUCUUCUGCUUAAUUAUAUUGAGUAGUAACUCACCUCUUAGCCAGCGCACCAAGAAGUAAUCGUCGUGGGUUCCAACCAACGCAUCAUCCAUUUGCUUGCGAAACU
ensembl:ncRNA asRNA:CR45807 antisense RNA:CR45807